rnacentral:rRNA from 1 species
GACGAACGCUGGCGGCGUGCCUAAUACAUGCAAGUAGAACGCUGAAGAGAGGAGCUUGCUCUUCUUGGAUGAGUUGCGAACGGGUGAGUAACGCGUAGGUAACCUGCCUUGUAGCGGGGGAUAACUAUUGGAAACGAUAGCUAAUACCGCAUAACAAUGGAUGACACAUGUCAUUUAUUUGAAAGGGGCAAUUGCUCCACUACAAGAUGGACCUGCGUUGUAUUAGCUAGUAGGUGAGGUAAUGGCUCACCUAGGCGACGAUACAUAGCCGACCUGAGAGGGUGAUCGGCCACACUGGGACUGAGACACGGCCCAGACUCCUACGGGAGGCAGCAGUAGGGAAUCUUCGGCAAUGGGGGCAACCCUGACCGAGCAACGCCGCGUGAGUGAAGAAGGUUUUCGGAUCGUAAAGCUCUGUUGUAAGUCAAGAACGGUUGUGAGAGUGGAAAGUUCACAAUGUGACGGUAGCUUACCAGAAAGGGACGGCUAACUACGUG